rnacentral:rRNA from 1 species
GGGGAAUAUUGGGCAAUGGGCGCAAGCCUGACCCAGCAACGCCGCGUGAAGGAAGAAGGUCUUCGGAUUGUAAACUUUUGUCGUCAGGGACGAAACAAGACGGUACCUGGCAAGAAAGCCCCGGCUAACUACGUGCCAGCAGCCGCGGUAAUACGUAGGGGGCGAGCGUCGUCCGGAAUUACUGGGCGUAAAGGGCGCGUAGGCGGCCUGUUAAGUUAGAUGUGAAAUCCCCGGGCUCAACUUGGGUGUUGCAUUUAAAACUGGCAGGCUUGAGUGCAGGAGAGGAAAGCGGAAUUCCUAGUGUAGCGGUGAAAUGCGUAGAUAUUAGGAGGAACACCAGUGGCGAAGGCGGCUUUCUGGACUGUAACUGACGCUGAGGCGCGAGAGCGUGGGGAGCAAAC